GGAUUAGAUACCCUGGUAGUCCACGCCGUAAACGAUGAGAACUAGAUGUCGGGAGGAUUUGCCUUUCGGUGUCGCAGCUAACGCGUUAAGUUCUCCGCCUGGGGAGUACGCCGGCAACGGUAAAACUCAAAGGAAUUGACGGGGACCCGCACAAGCGGUGGAGCAUGUGGUUUAAUUCGAUGCAACGCGAAGAACCUUACCUGCCCUUGACAUUGACAGAAUCCUGUAGAGAUACGGGAGUGCUUCGGCCUGGAAAACAGGUGCUGCAUGGCUGUCGUCAGCUCGUGCCG
rnacentral:rRNA from 1 species